rnacentral:rRNA from 1 species
AUACGUAGGACCCGAGCGUUGUCCGGAUUUACUGGGUAUAAAGGGUGCGCAGGCGGAUCCGUGCGUCGAAGGUUAAAGACCAGAGCUCAACUCUGGGAGUGCCCUCGAUACGGCGGAUCUUGAGUACGAGAGAGGAUAGUAGAAUUCCUGGUGUAGCGGUGAAAUGCGUAGAUAUCAGGAGGAAUACCAGUGGCGAAGGCGGCUAUCUGGCUCGUAACUGACGCUCAGGCACGAAAGCGUGGGGAUC